ensembl:lncRNA
GAUGAAACCUGACACUGACAUUGAAAUAACAUUGAUUCACUGUUGUUCUGUCAUCGUUGAUUGUUGAUCUAUUUAUAGUUGACAAGGUGACAACAAUCACGUUGAAAAACCAUCGAUUUAUGGUUGAGCGGGAAAUUAAAGCUGCUACCACUUGGACUAUUCCGCAGCACCCCUCUCAGUGGUACAUCCCUCCAGGUAACCAUUGUCUUGUACAGUAGAGCGGGACAUUAGAUUUACUCUCAGCGGAAUUGACCGGAGAAGGCAUCAGUUCAUGCACUGCACUGGCCUGCACCACGAUUAGUAUAAGACAGGGCAAAAAAGGACUCCAAAUUAAAAAAAAGAUAAAAAUGAAAGACUGGUGCAUUGUGCAGUUUAGCACUGGUGGUACAGAAAUAGUCCCUAGAUCAUGGAUAAAUGGGGAGAAAUUGUCAUGGCCUCCAUAUCCUCCGUGAGACACAUUCAGGAUCCACGACGCAGUAAAGAGGAGAGUUCAUCCUGGUGCAACAUGGCUCACCUAUGCACCAGUCCGACUUCUAAUAAGCCAUGACACAUUUCACGAAGCAGAACGCAGUCUUCAGAAAUAUCUAAGUGAACACUGUGAUAUGUCUGACCUUCAGUCCGAAGCUGAAACUCAGACCAGUCAUAAAAGAAAGCACAAACCAAAUCCCCUGUACACAUAUAGUGACUCAGAGGAUGAGCAGCCCACAAAAAAAAUGGUUUCCCCAGGCCCCUCGAGUGAAAAUACCAGCAUCUUUUUCUGUCAGACCUGACGAGAGCUGUUAACGAACUCCGUGAGGAGGUCAGAGCCAUCCGCAAUACCGGCUGCAAUGAAUCGGUAGAUGCUGGGGUACUGGCUCUGGAUUUGCCCUUGCACAACAUUGAGGAGCUAAACAAUGCAGAGCCAGCUCUUCAAUCACAAGAGGCAAAUAAGGCAAUGGUGAGACGCUUUGCCUUGAUUGGAGCCUGACGCAGCAGUUAGGGGCAAACUCUAUGUCCGAGUUAGUCUUUGCACAAGCAGUGCAGAAAUGGCUCCGAUACGCCCCAGAUCGUUUGGGUGGUGCAGGACGCACAUCAUGCAAAAAAUUACAAACUUCUGUGAAUCAUAUAAACGUAAAUCGGAAACUGUCUUUUAAUAAAGUAUUUAGCAAACGAAACAUGCCUAUUGACCUUUUUUUGUUUAUUUUUUUUCUCUGUUACAUCACAUGCAAUGCUUUCUUAUUUUAGGAUAUUAAUAUUGACAUGAUACAUUGUGAGACAUUUGGGUUUUUUUUUAUAAAGGGUGUCCAAUUUAAGGAAUAAGUACAAUUAUGUGUUUAGGUGGUUGAAGUAUUGAUGGAAACAUGCAGUAGUUUAGUAUUGGUUAAAAUACCUAUAAAGAAAGGUAGAUUUCCAGUCAUGAUUUAACUGUUUUAAUAAAAAGCAACUGUGCGAAAGAGGCGGAAAAUCAACACCAUAGCUCAACAGUGUUUCAAUAUCAGAAUCUGACAUUGUUUCAAUGUCAGCAGUAUUAGAAAAUAUAACGUUGAAUCAACGUCAGGUUUCAACAUUGAUUCAACAUCAAAACCUGACGUUUCAACAUUAAAAAAGGGUGCAAGAGUGACGUUAGGUCAACGUCACACUUCAACGUUGGUUCAAUGACACAGCCUGAUAUUGACUCAACAUUGUUUCAAUGUUUCCUUGCUAUCUGGGUAAAUACUUGUUUUAUCACUUAAAACAGAUAAUCAGUAUAAAAUAUUUGUGCAACAUAAUUUUUC